UUCACAUUAAUUACCUAAGCAUAUUAAAGAACAUCAUUUAAACUAUGUUUUAUAAAAUUUGCAUAAAAAAAGCUCCGUAGUCCCUUCCAAAAAAAUGGGUUUUGCGGUGUACAACAUAUCUUGUUACAGGGUCAUCAGAAAAUCAAAACACAAAAAUUGUUUAUUAGUUAAAAUGUGGCCAAAGAAAUCUUCGUCGAGCUCUUUUUAAAUUUUUGGAAUUUUGGUAUCACUUUGAAGUCAAAAACGUGAUUUAACCUUAAAUAUUGGAAUUGCCUAUUGUUAUUGUUAAAAAGAACUCGUCGUCAGUACCUGCUGAUUGAGGUACAAAAAACAGUGUGCCAGACUUUAAAAAGCUGGAAACUGGACGGAGCAGACCGGCCUGGUAUGCCCGUCGUAACAACGGUCAUAUCUUUUUUUUUUUCGUCCGCUUGACAAGAAAUUUUAACACAACAUUCUUGAUAUGUUUUACUUUAAUAAAAGUACAAAUUACUGAGAUAGUUACUUAACCACAAGAGUUUGAUUUUUCAAGGUGAAGUUGAUUAUAUGUGUCCCAAACGGCAUAGUGACCAAAAAUGUCAUACAUUUUUAUACCCGUUAGUCGUAGAAUAAAAGGGUAUACUACAUUCGUCGGAAAGUAUGUAACAGGUAAAAUGAAAGCGUUUCCGAUUCCAAAAAGUAUAUAUAUCCUUGAUCAGGAUCACUAGCCGAAUCGAUCUUGCCAUGUCCGUCUGUCCGUCCGUCCGUCCGUCCGUCCGUCCGCUGAACGUUGAGAUCUUGGAAACUAUAAGAGCUAGAACAGUCGAACUUGGCAUGCAGAUUCCUGGGCUUCCUGCGCAGCGGGAUGCCACGCCCACUCUAACGCCUACAACCCUCGAAAAUCUGUAGCCCCUACAAUUUUGUUGAUAGAAACAAAAUUUUAACUGAAAACGCCCACAAAUGGCCAAAACGCUUAAAUCUGUCUGCCGCAUAACAUCUACUGAAAAAGCCGGUAGGUGGCGCCCUAAAAUAUCGCUCUUCUGCUUAUAAAUCUUCAAUAUCCUUUUGCUCCCUUAAGUUGAGUAACGGGUAUCUGAUAGUCGAGGCACACGACCAUAGAGUUUUUCCUUUUUUUUAGCUGUUUUUGAGUCACUGGGGGACUUAGUGGGUACCUAGGAUCCCUAUGAAUGUGGAGUAAAUAUUUGUCUGUUUUGUUAAGAUUUGGGCUAUUGGCGCAUUCUCUUAAUUAUUUCUCGUGUCCCGCGUGUCCGUUUGUAUAAAUGUUCUAUGACCAUUCAAGGCAAAGGGUGCAUCUGUUACAGGUUUUUCAUUGCCUGCUUUGUUUUUCACCUCAUCUCGAAACAUCUCAUAUUCGCAUUGAUCUUACCUUGGAUUUUUAUGAUGUAGAUGUAUUUCUGCUUAAUUUUUUGGCAUCCUACAUUGUGAUCUGAUGCUCUGCCGUGUUCGAUGUUUCCGUCAUGGCUUUGUCUCUACCAGCUAGUCCACUAUACCACCGCAUCUAAUGCUGUUUGCCCUGCAGUUUCUCGUUUCCAAUGCCCGACGUUUUCUGUUAAGCGUUUUUUCCACGCAGAGUGUAAAGUCUUGACUUCGUUCUAUAUUUUCUACUAAGGAAUACGGCACGCGACCACGGGGUUCCGUUGCUUGAUGUGACAGUUAUGCUCUUGGUCCAUACUUCAAAGUUUAUUGCUCGACCUUUUGCCCUUGCUCUGCCUUUACAUCAACCACUUUCUUUUUUCAAAUCUUUUGCUUUCCAAACUUCCGUUCUCAAGACUUUAUUUUUUCGGUGUUUUGUUCUCUAAAUUCUAGGUCUCCUAAAAUAUGAUCAAUAUUUUUCAGUCGUCAGUCUCAGCAUAAAGCAGAGAAAUAUUGACAAGCUCGGGCUCUGGAUGAGCGAACAUAUUUUUGUUUGGCCGUCCUCUCGUUACUAGAUCAGAAACAUUUAAUAUUGUCCCAAAAUUGCAUUUAAAUACGGUUUUUAAGCUUAAGUAGGCGAUGAAAACUUUUUAGGUGGAACUAAAAAAUGUCAUUCCUGUUUCUUUAGAAUUCCUAAUCCCGUUUCGUAAUUAAAUUUCGUAAUACCCUUGUUUAUAGGUAUUAAUAUUUUAAUGAAAAACUUAUAAUAAUUUUUUUGUAUAGUAACGAAUAUAUAUUUAGUUAUUAAUAUUACAUACCUAUAUUAUUUUAUUAAUCAUGUAUUCAGUGAUAGCAAUUUUUACCGUUUUACGUUAACUAAAUUUUUGAAAACCGAAAAACUCGCAGAACUCUCUUUUGGGACGCCAAUGAUUUCAUUGGCAAAUAUCAUUAGUAAGAGCACUAUAUUACCCCUGGAUUCAAUAUAUAAUUCUUAUAAACGACGUAAAAAAUUAUCUUAAACAAUGACUUGGAAGACAUCGUGAUAUUAUCUAUUUUGGUAUUUUGAGCGAGUUAGUCGUGGUGUUGCCGGCGAAUAUAGAUGUAGUUAGACCCUCGUUUGUAGGUAUAACAAAACAGUGCAGGACAACGGCAAUUAAAGUUACUGAGGAAAUCGAUUUCACAAACCUUCAUCAUACGCAAAGUUUGCUGUUAAUCAAAAAACAAGUACUCAAGGCCAAAAUAAUAAAAACUCCGCAAGACAUAAAUCCCAAAACCAACAACAACGAUACUGAACUAUGAUCUGACGAAUUGAUCAGACGAAUUGGAACUCUCUACAUUCAUGACAGCGACACACCUCGAAUGUGAAAGUGGUGACGAAGAAAUGGAGAUCGUCCAAAUCGAUGCCUACAUCCAAAAGAUCACCAAGGAAGAUUUCUAGAGUCAGACAUAAAAAUGAAUAGUUUCUUAACUGCUUAAGGACAAAGACAAGACCAAAAAAAUGCAGUAUUAAUACUAAGAAUCUAAAACACUAGUUCUAGUUCUUAAUGUAAAAGAUUUACUCUAAAUCCUAGAUAUGGCCCUGCCUAUAAUUCAAUGGAGCUGCAAUGCAGUAAUUUGCGCCUACAAGAAACUCCAUAACAUCCCUAUACCCCCAAACAUUACAAUAAUAGAAAACAACACAGCCAACAAGUCACAUGGUAGAGUAGCAAUGCUAGUCCAUAAUGUCAUGCAAUUUGACAACAAUCAAUAUAGCUUCUCAUAAAACUUUUCAGUUUAAUAACUUGGUUAACAUGAUAGGAAACCCUAACAUGAACGCGAUUAUAACGGGGAACUUCAUUUAUUGGCAUCACGUGCAAAAAAAAUAUAUAUAUGUGAGUCUUGGGGUCAUCGGAUGAUCACUUUAUUAUCAGUAACGCAUGUAAAGGCGAGAAAAAUGUAUAGUUUUUAUGCAAUCAGUUUUAAGACUAUCGGGCUGAAACUUUCCCAAAAGUCUUCUCUCUAUUGCAGGUAGUAUAGAAGUCGGAUCGGACAACUACAUCUUAUAGCUCCCAUAGAUCGGGGGAAAAAUUAAAAAAAAUUAUAUCUUUGGUGUUAUUUGACUUAUAACCUUCUAAGAUUGGAAAUUACAUUUUUUAAUUAGUUCUGAAUUUCGUUUUAUCAAAAUUACGACUAUAUCAUAUUGUAAUAGGCUUAUCGGAUGGUCACUUUAUUACCAAUAACGCUUGUAAAAGCAAGGCAAAUGUAUAGUUGGUAAGCAAUCGGGACGAGAGACAUUCUGGUGUGAAUGCUCGAGUUAAACGGUCGUGCCAAUAAGAAAAAGGUUUUAUCUCGUAAAGUAAAGUUCUUUUUCUUCCACAAAUUCAGAAGUGGUUCAAGCCUACACCAUGGAUUAUGUAAAUGGCUUUCCGUAUUGGGACUGCCAACUCAAGGCCUUCAAACCGAAUUGAUGGCUCGUCUCGGUCGGGACCGACCGUGAACUUCAUGACGCCGAAAACAACGAUACAGAAAAUGGAGAGGAAAUGUCUUCCGAGAAUGCUCUUUAGCAACACGAGCUUCUCGCCAUAAAUCGGCAGUUUCAAGCGGAGGCUAGUGCACAUCACAAUAUGUUGCAGCAAACGCAGACACAUGGCGCCCCACAACAGCAAAAAGAACAUGCAGUUCACAAUGCAGGUGGCAACUCCGGCGGUGAGAACACUCUAACGCAUGAAAACGCAUCAGUUGGGAGCCCUGCCAAUCUGAUCGUUUCGCCGACCACAAGCGACAACACGUCGAUUGGCACCCAUGCCAGUUUUGUCGUUUCACCGACAACAACGCAUCGGUUGACAUCCCCGCUAGCCUGAACGUUUGACAAUAUCUGCCUCCUGAAACCAUUGACCGAGGGCACUGCGUGCAAUGAGCUACGCAGCAGGAACUGCAACUCCAAAGGGCAUUUUGCAAAGGAUUGCCGCAAACCAAAAAGGCCUCCAGGUUCCUGUUUCGCCUGUGGAGAAAUGGGGCAUUUCGUAAAACAAUGUCCUCAGAGAAAAGCGAAUGUCUCAUACACUCUGGGAGCGCUAUAUCUUUCAUAAGUCCCUGUUGGAGUAAACAUAAAUAAAGUUAGCAGAAUUAUGCGUAAAUUAGAGCCAACUCAACGUCAUUGGAAAAACAUUAUGCUUUGUAAUAAAGAAAGAUAUAAAGAUUAA